rnacentral:lncRNA from 1 species
AAAAAAUCCUUAUCUCUAAGGACUAAUCAACCGCAAUACACUUGAAGAGGUCGAUGAAAAUUUACACGAGAAAAAAAGGCAAAACGGAAAAAUGACCUAACUCCUAGAAGCUUCAGCGCCCAUCUAUGGUGGAAAAAGAGAAAAACAAAAGAUCUGCUUCUUCUCCAUUGUAGCUUCAAAAACGCUACACUUUCCCACGACCAUAACUCCAGCUCCCCAUCCAUCACCGUGCCACCCCAAACACCAACAAACGAACCAUGCCUGACCAUCACUUCUAACCAAAUACAAACUCGCCGGAAAAACCCAUUAAAACCGACUCGUUCACCCCUCCCUUCACCAACCAGCCCAACACGCCAGUGAACAGAAGCCAUCAGCAAAAACAACCCUCCAACGCCCCAAUAAACCCAACCACCCCGCCAACCUCUCCAAAAACUCGCCGAAAAAGAUGGUCUCCAUCCUCUGAACGUCUAAGUCCACCCUACGAUCCUCCUUUCCUAUCCAGAAGCCGGACAACAGAGAACGACCAGAUUCCAAAUUUCGCUUUCUAAAAAUGAAAUUUGUUUGAGGUGAUUCGAAGUCCAAUUCGAGGUCUCGUUCAGUCGUACAUCGAGGUUACUAUCCGAGUUCCUAUUGCUGUUUUCAUUUUGUUCGUGCUGCAAUUCGCUCAAUUUUGGCUUAAAGCUCUUGUAUGAUUUUCAAGCGUCGAAGAAAAUUUCAGAACUCCUUUUGUGGUCCUUCUCAUUGACUUCUCUUUAUUAUGUGUGCUAUUAUUUUUCAUGUGCUAUGUUAAUUGCAUGAUGAUGGCUUAAUGUUCUCGUUUGAUAUAAAUUCAGUCAAAUUGCUCAUUUUAAUUAACUAUUGUGAAUAGAGCAUAAUUUAUGAUAAGUAAAUCAAUUCAUGAACUAUUAGUUUAAGUUAGAUUACGGGGCAGUGGAUUGAUAAACUCUGGAAAAGAAAUGUUGGACAAGAAUAGUGAAAUAGAAAUGGGAUCUAAAGAUGGAAGUUAAAAGUAACAAAAUUGAGAUUUUAGUACUACAUUUGUUACUUUAUUUUAUUUUAUUAUCCACUAGUGGUAUGUUUAGGUCGGUCACACUUGGGUAGGUAAGCUUUAGGAUUUUUUUUGUUUUGAGGCAACAAGUCGUUCUCUUAGUUAAAUUUAUCUGGAGAAUACCCCAAAGAAUUUAUAUAUUUUUUAUCCGGGGUAUACCCCGAAGUACGUAUAAAUAAUGGCCAGAUAUUGGAUGAUGUGAGGAAGCGUAGAAUAGAACUUUAAUAUUUUCCUUUAUUCAUUUUAUCUUUUUUAGGUGGGGAUGACCUCUAACAUCUUGUGUAUUUUUUUUUUUUGUGUUUUACCUCAAUUGAAUAUUUUAAAGCGGACCAUAUGAAGUAUGCAACCGUACUAGUUACGGGACUUGGGGAGUGCCUAACACCUUCACCCUGAGUCAAUUGAACCCCCUUACCCGAAUCUCUGGUGCAAAUUUAGUUUUAAAGUUCAAAGUGUUUAAAUAGGAAAAAUUAUUUUUAUAAAACGGUGACCUGGCACAACAAAACCAAUGUCAGGUGGCGACUCUGAGUUAAUCCUUUUGAACACAAACUUUUGUCUCUUUCUAAUUGAAAACCCUUUUAAGCUUUGCAAAGUCCUUUUAUUUAUUUAAGAUGGGUUAGUGAGGAUUGAUUAAAAAAAGGGUAUGACAUCUAUGGUUUUUAGGUUCGAGCUGGGGAGUUGUAGGUUCGAGCUGGUACUUGAUCUUGUUGGUUUCUUAGGAUAUUCGGUUGAGGUGUUUGUUUUUUGUAUUUGAUUUGUUUGUAUUAUUUCCUUGUUUUGUUGGUUAUUUGUUUAUCGUUUUUCUUAAUGUGUUACUGCUUUAUAAUCUAUCAUCAUUUGUAUAACCAUGAGUCUUCUUUUUGCAGAAGUCUCGAAGUACGUAUAGCGUGCACGAACUCUUUGUUGAGUCACUCUUAAUUUAAAAGGGGGACCGUCGGACGUAUGGAGUGGGUGGAAAGCUUGAGCAGCCACCAUCGA